GAUGAACGCUAGCGGCAGGCCUAACACGUGCAAGUCGAGGGGCAGCACAUAAAGUGGUUUACUACGUUUGGUGGCGACCGGCGGACGGGGGCGUAACGGGUAUGCAACCUGCCUACAACAGGGGGAUCAUGGAGAGAAAUUUCAACUAAUUCCCCAUAAUAGCCGAAUCGGCAUCGGUUUUGGUUGAAAACUCCGGAGGCUGGAGAUGGGCAUGCGUUGUAUAAGAUGGUUGGUGAGGUAACGGCUCACCAAGUCAACGAUACAUAGGGGGACUGAGAGGUUAGCCCCCCACACUGGUACUGCGACACGGACCAGACUCCUACGGGAGGCAGCAGUGAGGAAUAUUGGUCAAGGGGGGCAACCCUGAACCAGCCAUGCCGCGUGCAGGAAGACGGCUCUAUGAGUUGUAAACUGCUUUUACAAGGGGAUAAAUCGGUGUACGUGUACACCGUUGAAGGUACCUUGGGAAUAAGGAUCGGCUAACUCCGUGCCAGCCGCCGCCGUAA
rnacentral:rRNA from 1 species